rnacentral:rRNA from 1 species
CCUACGGGUGGCAGCAGUGGGGAAUAUUGCACAAUGGGGGAAACCCUGAUGCAGCGACGCCGCGUGAGUGAGGAAGUAUUUCGGUAUGUAAAGCUCUAUCAGCAGGGAAGAAAAUGACGGUACCUGACUAAGAAGCCCCGGCUAACUACGUGCCAGCAGCCGCGGUAAUACGUAGGGGGCAAGCGGUAUCCGGAUUUACUGGGGGUAAAGGGAGCGUAGACGGCUAAUCAAGGCAGAAGUGAAAACCCAGGGCUAAACUUUGGGACUGCCUUUGAAACUGAGUAGCUAGAGUGCAGGAGAGGUAAGCGGAAUGCCUAGUGUAGCGGUGAAAUGCGUAGAUAUUAGGAGGAACACCAGUUGCGAAGGCGGCUUGCUGGAUUGCAACUGACGUUGAGGCUCGAAAGCGUGGGGAGCAAACAGGAUUAGAUACCCGAGUAGUC